GUGAAAACUGCUUGUGCUUUGGAGCCUGGCCUCUUGCUGAGCUAAAGGCCUGAGACGACCACGUUUUAUGAGCAUGAACAAGCCUGUAGGGGGAAAGAGAGAUCCUGUGGAGGAAAACUGAGGCAUCUGGGCUGACAAUCUGCCAACUGCCAGGUUAUGUUUCAGCUUAUCAAAUACAUAGCUUCUCCUUUCUGCCUGACUUCCUGACCCUGAAAGUAUUAUUUUCUUUCUUUCUGCCUGAGACUUUGCCAAAGUUGCUGAGGCUGGGGUUGCAGCCUGGUCAAGAAAGAGUGGAUAUAAGGAGGAUACCCACAAGUUAUCCUGCCAAGCAUAUUACAAUGAAAAGGUCAUCAUUAGUGGCCUUUUUAGUUAUUUGAAACAUUUACUGAGCCCAAAGCUUUCACCUUCUAUUCUGGGCUGAAAUGCAGAGAAAAUUUGGGCUGGUGAUAUUUGCACAUAUGCUAUAAGGAGUAGAAGAAAAUCAUAUCCUUCAAUUCUUGGUAAUAAGUGGAAAUAACUGGUGACUCUGAGCAGAUUCUGAUUAGAACAAUAAGGUAUUAGCUUUGUUUUUCAAAUUUUAAUAAGUUUUUUAAGUAAUAUUUUUGAAAGCAGAAGAAAGUAUAUAUACUUGACUGUUAUUUCCAUUGUCAGUUUAUCAUUGACAGUCACAAAUCAGAGGGAAGUGCCAAUCGUCUCCAGAAUGCGAGACUACAGCAUUCUUCACAAGUAGUGCAUGGGGCCAGGCACGGUGGCUCAUGCCAGUAAUCCCAGCACUUUGGGAGGCUGAGAUGGGUGGAUCACCUGUAGCGGAAUAACUGAGGUCAGGAGUAUGAGACCAGCCUGGUCAAGAUGGUGAAACCCCAUCUCUACUAAAACUACAAAACUUAGCCAGGCAUGGUGGUGCAUGCCUGUAAUCCUAGGUAUGGGGGAGGCUGCGGCAGGAGAAUCACUUGAACUCGGGAGGCAGAUGUUGCAGUAAGCCGAGAUUGCACCACUGCACUCCAGCCUGGAUGACAGAGUGAGAC
rnacentral:lncRNA from 1 species